UAGGGAAUCUUCCGCAAUGGACGCAAGUCUGACGGAGCAACGCCGCGUGAGUGAAGAAGGAUUUCGGUUCGUAAAACUCUGUUGUUAGAGAAGAACAGCGCAUAGAGUAACUGUUAUGCGUGUGACAGUAUCUAACCAGAAAGCCACGGCUAACUACGUGCCAGCAGCCGCGGUAAUACGUAGGUGGCAAGCGUUGUCCGGAUUUAUUGGGCGUAAAGCGAGCGCAGGCGGUUAGAUAAGUCUGAAGUUAAAGGCAGUGGCUCAACCAUAGUAGGCUUUGGAAACUGUUUAACUUGAGUGCAGAAGGGGAGAGGGGAAUUCCAUGUGUAGCGGUGAAAUGCGUAGAUAUAUGGAGGAACACCGGUGGCGAAAGCGGCUCUCUGGUCUGUAACUGACGCUGAGGCUCGAAAGCGGGGGGAGCGAACAGG
rnacentral:rRNA from 1 species